GAUGAACGCUGGCGGCGUGCCUAAUACAUGCCAGUCGAGCGAACGGACGAGGAGCUUGCUUCUCUGAUGUUAGCGGCGGACGGGUGAGUAACACGUGGAUAACCUACCUAUAAGACUGGGAUAACUUCGGGAAACCGGAGCUAAUACCGGAUAAUAUUUUGAACCGCAUGGUUCAAUAGUGAAAGACGGUCUUGCUGUCACUUAUAGAUGGAUCCGCGCUGCAUUAGCUAGUUGGUAAGGUAACGGCUUACCAAGGCAACGAUGCAUAGCCGACCUGAGAGGGUGAUCGGCCACACUGGAACUGAGACACGGUCCAGACUCCUACGGGAGGCAGCAGUAGGGAAUCUUCCGCAAUGGGCGAAAGCCUGACGGAGCAACGCCGCGUGAGUGAUGAAGGUCUUCGGAUCGUAAAACUCUGUUAUUAGGGAAGAACAUAUGUGUAAGUAACUGUGCACAUCUUGACGGUACCUAAUCAGAAAGCCACGGCUAACUACGUG
rnacentral:rRNA from 1 species